UAUAAGUUCAGUCAUGAGUUUCCAUAUCUAUCUUUGAUCAUCCAUCUUAUUUGAUUUUUUUUAUGAUUAGUAUUUUUAUCAUUAUUAGAUGAUAAAACAUAAGUAGUACUUUAUGCAUGGCUUAUAUUUUUGAACUUUUUUUUUAAAAAAAAUUCAAAUAAGACGGACGAUCAAAAUUAGACACGAAAAAUUAUGGUUGCACCUAAA
rfam:Oryza sativa Japonica Group DNA, chromosome 2, cultivar: Nipponbare, complete sequence.